rnacentral:rRNA from 1 species
AUACGUAGGGGGCGAGCGUUGUCCGGAAUGAUUGGGCGUAAAGGGCGCGUAGGCGGCCCGGUAAGUCUGGAGUGAAAGUCCUGUUUUUAAGAUGGGAAUUGCUUUGGAUACUGUCGGGCUUGAGUGCAGGAGAGGUAAGUGGAAUUCCCAGUGUAGCGGUGAAAUGCGUAGAGAUUGGGAGGAACACCAGUGGCGAAGGCGACUUACUGGACUGUAACUGACGCUGAGGCGCGAAAGUGUGGGGAGCAUACAGGAUUAGAUACCCUGGUAGUCCACACUGUAAACGAUGAAUGCUAGGUGUAGGGGGUAUCGACCCCUUCUGUGCCGCAGUCAACACAAUAAGCAUUCCGCCUGGGGAGUACGGCCGCAAGGUUGAAACUCAAAUGAAUUGGCGGGG